rnacentral:tRNA from 1 species
GGCCACGUGGUGAAACUGGUAGACACGCCAUCUUGAGGGGGUGGUGCUGCAAGGCAUGGGAGUUCGAGUCUCCCCGUGGUCACUA